rnacentral:rRNA from 1 species
CUACGGGGGGCAGCAGUAGGGAAUUUUGCGCAAUGGGCGAAAGCCUGACGCAGCAACACCGCGUGAGGGAUGAAUCUUUUUGGAGUGUAAACCUCUGUCAGUAGGGACGAAACAAUGACGGUACCUACAAAGGAAGCACCGGCUAACUACGUGCCAGCAGCCGCGGUAAGACGUAGGGUGCAAGCGUUGUCCGGAAUUAUUGGGCGUAAAGCGUCCGUAGGCGGUAUGCCAAGUCUGAUGUUAAAGCCCGGGGCUCAACCCCGGUUCAGCAUUGGAUACUGGCAAACUAGAGUACAGGAGAGGCAAGGAGAAUUCCCAGUGUAGCGGUGAAAUGCGUAGAUAUUGGGAGGAAUACCAGUUGCGAAAGCGCCUUGCUGGACUGAAACUGACGCUGAGGGACGAAAGCCAGGGGAGCAAAUGGGAUUAGAUACCCCAGUAGUC